AAUUAGUCCAAUCGCUUAAAGUAAUAAUGCACCUCUCAGUAACAAGCAAAGAAGUUGUGCUCCAACAUUUAUCAAGCAGCAUUAAUGUAUAAAAGCAGAAGAGCCUUUGCUAGGCACUGGAGUUACGAAAGAGUAAAUGAGCUGUUUUCCAUUUUGGUCUAAUCUUCAUCACUGUUCUGUGUGGUGAUCGUUACAGAAGCAGAAAAAAAAAAAAAAAAAAAAAAACUGCUCUGAAACCUGAGCCCUGAACAAACCACACUACUUCCUCCUUUCAGAGAAACAGAGUGGGAAAAAUAGGGGGAGAGCGAGAAGAGAGAGGAUAAGGAGGGAAAAAGAGGGAUGUGUGGAGAGAGAGUGAAAAGGGGAGGAAUACAGAAAAGUUUUCCGUUAUAGGCAGAUCCUCUUGAAUAAACUUGACACACAAAUAUGCUGACGAAGAGGAAAAAAGAGAAGCGCAGACAACUGUUUGCUGACCCUGUAUAUCUGACUCACUAAUGGGAGACUUUCAUCUCUUCAGAGGGACUUUUGCCUUUUUAUAUGUAACAGCUUAAAAUGGGCGAACAUGACAAUGUUUGAUUUCCGGAUUCAGAUGGAGCCCAAGGUGCUGCACCCUCAAGUCUCGGUGAUGUUCUGGUUUCUAGACAGGACACAGGUCCAUCCAUCACCUUUUUUUUUCUUUCACAAGAGCUGAAAUCGCUACCAGAUGUGGAUGCAAUCUGUCCCUGUUGCCAUGGCGACGGCUGGGUUGUGAACAGGCGUGUAGCCGCGGGUCGGUUGUCCUGCCGCUUGAUUAUGCUCCAGGUUUUUGAGAGGUAUGUUUAGACUGGCACUCCAUUUGUCAUAUCGCCUCCUCUGAAAUAUCAAUUUGUCUCUCCAACCGCAGAUGAUGGUCAUAAAACCAUAUUUUGGGAGUUUUUUUCCCCUAGAAAUCUAGCUUCUGAAAUACUUGUUUUGUGAAUACUUUCUACAUUUUAUUUAUAUAUUUUUUAUUUUUCUGGAAGAAUCGCAGCCUAAAUGACUUUUCCAGCACUGGAGUGCUGUUUCAAUUGUCUCGUACCUCUACUGUGCCUAAUUUUACUGGGAAAAUGAUAUUGGAAGUAGUAUGUACGUCUCCUUAUUACUGUAAUGUAGACAAAAUAAUGGUAUAUUGCUUAAAUGUAUAAAUACUUAUAAUUAUUAUUUUUUUUAUUCUUCCUUAGAAUUCAUGUUGAUUUUAAAUAAAAAUUUAUGUAGUUCAGUAUUUUUGGAGAAU
ensembl:lncRNA